CGGUGGGGAUCUGGUCCGGGCUGAUGAAGUGAAUGUGGGUGUCGAUUCCGCCCGCGGUGAGGAUUUUGCCCUCGCCGGAGAUGAUGUCGGUGGCCACGCCGAUGGUGAUGUCGACACCGUCCAUCACGUCCAUGUUGCCGGCCUUGCCGAUCUGCGAGAUGUAGCCGUCGCGCACCGCGACGUCGGCCUUGUACACGCCGGUGUAGUCGAUGACCAGCACGUUGGUGAUUACCAAAUCGGGCACGUUGUCACCGCGCACGUGGCGGGAGUUUUGCCCCAUGCCGUCGCGGAUG
rnacentral:sRNA from 1 species